AAACUUUACAAUACACGCAAGUGUGAUAAGGGAACCCCAAGUGCCAAUACUUUGUAUUGGCUUUUGCCAAGAGCAAAUAUCUUGGAGAAUAAGUGGUGGGCAAUACCUGUGCCAGCCGCCGCGGUAACCCAGGAGCCACAAGUGGCAACCGCUUUUAUUGGGCCUAAAGCGUCCGUAGCCGGCUUUGUAAAUCUUCUGUGAAAUUGUUGCGCUUAACGUAACAGCGAGCAGAAGACACUGCAAAGCUUGGGACCGGGAGGGGUUAGAGGUAUUUCAGGGGGAGCGGUAAAAUGCUAUAAUCCCUGAAGGACCACCUGUGGCAAAGGCGUCUAACUAGAACGGAUCCGACGGUGAGGGACGAAAGCUAGGGGAGCAAUCCGGAUUAGAUAUCAAAAAUUCUGCGAAUUUUUGGACUUUGUCUCGCAAAUGCUCGACAAAGUAUCGAAAAUCCUCAUGAUUGCAAUAAAAUUACUAUGGGGAGAAGUAGAGGCUAUCAGAAUUUUUGACUAAUUACCCGAGUAGUCCUAGCUGUAAACUCUGCGAGCUAGGUGUUGCAUAAUCUUAGGGAUUAUGCAGUGUCGUAGUGAAGAUGUUAAGCUCGCCGCCUGGGGAGUACGGUCGCAAGGCUGAAACUUAAAGGAAUUGGCGGGGGAGCACUACAAGGGGUGCGGCGUGCGGUUUAAUCCAAUUCAACACGGAGAAUCUCACCAGGAGCGACGGCAGGAUGAAGGACAGUCUAAAGGGCUUUCCUGACGAGCCGAGAGGUAGUGCAUGGCCGUCGUCAGCUCGUGCCGUAAGGUGUCCUGUUAAGUCAGGCAACGAGCGAGACCUGUACUUACAAUUGCUAACGGGUCCAGCAAUGGAUGACUGAGCACAUUGUAAGGACUGCCUUCGAAAGGAGGAGGAAGGUGCAGGCAACGGUAGGUCUGUACGCUCCGAAUCUUCUGGGCUACACGCGCGCAACAAUGGUAGGGACAAUGGGAUGCAACACCGAAAGGUGAAGCCAAUCCUCGAAACCCUAUCUUAGUUCAAAAUUGUGGGGUUGGAACUCACCCCACUUGAAGUCCGGAAUCCCUAAGUAAUCAGAACUUUAUCAAGAGUCC
rnacentral:rRNA from 1 species